CUUGAGAACUGUGUCCGCCGAAAUCUCCUCAGGAUUAACCGCCAAAUCUCUCUCUCAGGCGGCUGAUCUCCUUCAUUCUAGCAGCGGCCGCCGGAGACAAAACCAGCUCGGGCCGAAGGUAGAUACACGCAACUACACCGAGUGUGGACCUGCCGCACGUGCAACAGCUUUCAGCCGAGAUCGGCCCAGAGAGAAAAAGCCGUCUGUCAGCCAGAAGUGUUUUGUAGAGUCGGCGCGGCUCUGGCCCAUUAUCUUCUCACCGACGUCGUGACUGAGCCGACAGUGCCGCAUUUCCGCCAGAAUCGGCCCGAGUGUGCUUGCUAUGUGGGUUGUUAGUCCCGUGAAGAACGUUGUAGCGACGUGGUCAGCUGGUCUCAUGAUAACUUUUCAUAUUAUUGCACUACAUGUAUUAUUAUGUUAAGAUACCAUUUGGAUAGCCUAUAUUUUGGAAAAUUUUAAAAGAUGGCAUGAAUUAUUAUAUUUGUAGGUACGUAUGUGUCAUCAAAUUAAGGACAAAACAAAAACCAAAUAGCUUGCUUAGCAAAUGGUGAUCAUUGUUAAUUACAUGUUUGUGAAUGACUGAGAAUGAGGUUUAUUGAAAGAGGGCUCAGGACAAAUUAACAUUUAAACCAGCAGCGGGCGGCGCGUCACUGUCUGUACUGCUGCGCGAGAGUGCGCGUGCCCGUCAUUAACGGUCAACUUAAUACACGGAGGAAAAGGUCCUGACUGCCACCAGUCGAGUCAAUGAUUCAGUGGAGAGACAAUCUGGGCAGCAGCAACAAGACAACUAUUACGAGUAGAGAUGGGUUUCAAGAUCCAGGUGCAAGGUGCAAUAAGAUGCAAGGAUCCAGGAUCAAGAGAUCAUUCAUCAUGAAGACUGUUCAAUAGGAAGCAGCGAAUCCUGGGUGAAAAACUAAACCUGGUUGUUUCAGCAUCACUGAGGCAAGGCAAAAUACAUUUAAAUUGAUUUCAGUAGGUUAUAUGUUUCAGAUCAUCCUGACCAUUCUGUUGUCCUGGAUUUGAAGACAUGCUGGAACUGUAUUUCUCGUGGCUGAAAGAUUUGUGCAGCGGUAUCCAGACAUAUAAGCACCCUUCCUGGACCCACGACUAAAGGCUCUGGAGGAGAGACAGAUUCAAGGGAAAGAUGAAAAAUAAGAAGACCGCAGCGAGGGAAGGAAGUAAUCAUCACAAUCUGCCGGAGAAGGAUAUUGACGAUGCAGGCUCAGGACGGCGAAGAGGAGGAAGAACACCUUUAACAUAAUUUUCUCAUACCUUUGUCAUGUGUUAUAAUAAAAACAAUAAACCUGACUACAAUAAUAUGGUAAAUUUUAUUAAAAGAUUCCAGUUUGCAAGGAAUCUGGAGUCUCUGACUCUGCCCUAAAGGAACUCUUUGCUGAGGAAGACCAAGUGCUGAGGAGGAGCCUUGUUCUACAGCAAAACACUGCAUCAACCCUCCAUGACAAGAUGAAGAGUGAAGAGUCUCCUCCUGUCCUUCCCUCAGAAGAGCCUGUCUUCUGCUGCUGGGGUAAGAACGACACUCUUCCUCGUCUCUCACAGCCGUCCAGCACCUAACUCUGCCUCCUCAGCACUGUCUGAAAGAGUCUUCUCCACAGUCAGUAAUCAGAGAUCACACAUUCUCCAGAGAAAGUCAACACGCUCAUUUUCCUAAACAAAACUGUUUAUGUUUUGUGGGUGGGCCAAAUUAUACAGGAGUGAUGCUAGAAAUCUUUAUAUUGUUCAUUUUACAUAUCUUUACUCUUUAUGAAUGUUAUUUUCUUUAUUUAUUUUAUCUUCUGAGAAGCCCAAGAACUAUGGUUCUUUGGUAAUUGUAACAUUGUUUAGGUUUAUCUUCUGAUAGUGAAGCUGUAUUAAAGCACAUCAGCACCAGAUAUUAAUGAAGUAUCUACUGAAUUGUUUCAUAUCUUUUUUAUCAUGUCUAUUUUUUUGCACCAAAUUAAGGGAGUUGUAUCAAUAAGAGUACUGAUAAUUAUUGAUAAUUUUCACUGAUAACAGCAUUAUUUAACUAUGCCCAACCUUAAUGAGACACAAACUUUUUCAGUUGAUUGGUAACACUUUGCAUGGUUAAAGAACAGGUGUAAUGUUUUGGUUUAGUAUUUGUAGAAAGUAACACUGAAUAAAUGUUGAUUCAUGAAUGAAUGCAUUGUGUUUUUGUCUAUUUUCUAUUAGAAUUUAAUGUUUUUGAAUUGGUUUGCACUGCAUGUAUGUAAUGAAUGUAUUUACUAUAAAUCCCCUAUAAUUAAAUUACUGUUAGAUUUUAUAAGUUUUCUUUUUUGCACCAAAGAUGAGUUUUCAAGGUUAUUUCAAGGUAAUAGUCGGAACACAUUCUCAGGACCCAGACUAAAGGCGAGGUGUAAAUAUUAAAAUUAAAAAUUAACGUGGUAUUUUAGUCCUUAGGACAUACUUGGUACGUUGCUGCGACCAAUAUGAUCCGGUACUGUCACGUCCUCACAACGUGCCGGUUUGGUCGUUAGGACGUUCUCAGCACGUUCCAGCGAUGUACCACUAUAACGUCGCCACGACGAAUAUGGGAAUCACAAAGUUACGUCGCUGGUACGUUAUUUGGUAAGUCGCUGCGACCAAUAUGGUACGGUAGAGUGACGUCGUCACGACGUAACUGUGUUAGCUGGGAUGUCGUCAUCUUUAACCGUCACUCGCCACAGAUCUCAAGCAAGGGACAAUAAUGCCAUUCAAGUUAUGAUCCUGGCAGAUCUACUACUAUCUGAAAAGUAGUCUCUGCAGAUUGUUUCAAGAUACACAAGAUGGAGCGUGGAGAGACGGGACAUGGACCACAGUUUUUCAGCACCCACACCCCACACUCAAAUUCAUAUAGAAGUUCUCAAUUAUUAAAUGUUAAUUUCAUAGUUUAUAUUUAGCUGUGAAGUUAUAGUUCAUUGUCAUAAAUAUUAAACUACUUAUUAUUAUUAUUAUUAUUAUU